GGUUCGGCAGGCAAAAUGUUUAUUGACACAACAUGGAUAAAUCUAUAGGAUUCCAAAUAUCUGACAUUAUGUCAAAAGCAUUAGUAGCAAAUAUCCUCAAUCACUGAGGGGGAUAGGACCUUUAUUGGGACUCCGGGAUCGGUGUUUUUAGGCUCAGGAUUUCGGGAUUGACCCUUUCGGGAUCCGGGAAUUCUUUAUUUGAAUUUUCGGGACCUCGAGAUUUCGGGAUCAGGACCCCUCCUAUCCCCCCUCAUCACUGAAAAAUGUAAUCAACAAACACAUAUGAAUCCAUAGCUUUUAAGACAUAUAUAAAUGAACCAAAAAAAAUUCAGCUGCCAUUUAUUUUCCCUGCAGUCCCAAUAGGAACCUCUUAUAUAAAAUUUGAACACAAACUUUUGGAAUGAAAAAAAGAAGCUCCCCUAUCUAAGUUACCAAUUUGUCUUCAUUGUACAAAUUAUUUUCAAAACAGUUUAGACUAAAGUGACAAAAAUAAUGCAAAGUGAUGUUUUGUGAUUCUGUUAAUUUUGAAAAUCCACAGGUUACUGUUGAUUCAUGAAUUUUUAAGGGUACAAAUUUUCAUGGAUUGUGGAAAACUUGCAUUUUCAUUGAUAUUCAUUAAAUAUUUGGCAGAGUCUGCAUAAAUUCCUUUAGACACUUUGUAAUUCAUUGAUUAUUUAAAUUAGAGAUUCCCCAGUACCCACAAAGUCCAUCUAAAUUGGUAUCCAAAGAAUAUUAAUGAAUCCACAGUACAUUGAUAAAAAAAUAAAGAAAUUCAUUAUGAUUGCCAAUGAGACAGCUAUCCACCUCAGUUCAAAUGAAGUGGAUGUGGACAUCAUUACUACAAAACAAUUGGUCAGUAUACAUGGUAUAUAAACAACAAUCAAGGGGAGUUUUGUUGUUCUCGACCUACCCCUGCAAAAUAAAUGGAAUGGCACGUUUGGAUAAUACACAAUAAUAUAAUAGCUCAACAGAUUUCUUUCUUCCAUCACUAACACCUCUGUGCACUUUAUAUAAACUAAUGGUCCAUCUGUCCACAAUGGCACAUUACAAUUCUGU
rnacentral:lncRNA from 1 species